rnacentral:rRNA from 1 species
UACGAAGGGGCUAGCGUUGCUCGGAUUGACUGGGCGUAAAGGGCGCGUAGGCGGUUCGUACAGUCAGACGUGAAAUUCCUGGGCUCAACCUGGGGCUGCGUUUGAUACGUGCGGACUUGAGUGCGGAAGAGGGUCGUGGAAUUCCCAGUGUAGUGGUGAAAUGCGUAGAUAUCGGGAGGAACACCAGUGGCGAAGGCGGCUCACUGGCCCGAUACUGACGCUGAGGCACGAAAGCGUGGGGAGCAAACAGGG